GACGAACGCUGGCGGCGUGCCUAAUACAUGCAAGUAGAACGCACAGUUUAUACCGUAGCUUGCUACACCAUAGACUGUGAGUUGCGAACGGGUGAGUAACGCGUAGGUAACCUGCCUGGUAGCGGGGGAUAACUAUUGGAAACGAUAGCUAAUACCGCAUAAUAUUGAUUAUUGCAUGAUAAUUAAUUGAAAGGUGCAAUUGCACCACUACCAGAUGGACCUGCGUUGUAUUAGCUAGUAGGUGAGGUAACGGCUCACCUAGGCGACGAUACAUAGCCGACCUGAGAGGGUGAUCGGCCCCAAUGGGACUGAGACACGGCCCAGACUCCUACGGGGGGGAGCAGUAGGGAAGCUUCGGCAAUGGACGAAAGUCUGACCGAGCAACGCCGCGGGAGGGAAGAAGGUUUUCGGAUCGUAAAGCUCUGUUGUAAGGGAAGAACGGGUGUGAGAGUGGAAAGUUCACACUGUGACGGUAUCUUACCAGAAAGGGACGGCUAACUACGUG
rnacentral:rRNA from 1 species